rnacentral:misc_RNA from 1 species
GGUAGUUGGUUGUAUCCGUUGGGCAUGGAAACGCUGCACUUACAUCGGGAAUAACGACAGUGCUACGUGGCCGGAAGCUACCUGUGAAGAAUUCGAGCCAGUUCCCCGUCUCUGCCGGACAAUUUUAGCUGUAUAUGAACCAAAUCUCCAUAAACCCAAAUUCCCACCGCCGGGUGGGUAUCGGUUAAACCCGGAUUGGGUUGUAAAACGGGUUACCUAUGAACAAACCUCCGGCCGGGCACCGCCGUAUCUGAUCUACUGUGAUCAUGAGCAUAAGGAGAUUGUGCUUGCUAUUAGGGGUUUGAAU